UACUCUCAUGCAGGUGAGCUAACGACCCGUUA
rnacentral:piRNA from 1 species